AGAGUUUGAUCCUGGCUCAGGAUGAACGCUAGCGGCAGGCUUAAUACAUGCAAGUCGAGGGGCAGCGGGGGUAGCAAUACCUGCCGGCGACCGGCAAACGGGUGCGGAACACGUACACAACCUUCCUAUAAGUGGGGGAUAGCCCAGAGAAAUUUGGAUUAAUACCCCGNUAACAUUAUUGAAUGGCAUCAUUUGAUAAUUAAAGCUCCGGCGCUUAAAGAUGGGUGUGCGUCUGAUUAGGUAGUUGGCGGGGUAACGGCCCACCAAGCCUUCGAUCAGUAACUGGUGUGAGAGCACGACCAGUCACACGGGCACUGAGACACGGGCCCGACUCCUACGGGAGGCAGCAGUAAGGAAUAUUGGUCAAUGGACGCAAGUCUGAACCAGCCAUGCCGCGUGGAGGAUGAAGGUCCUCUGGAUUGUAAACUUCUUUUAUCUGGGAAGAAAUGCAUUUUUUCUAAAGUGUUUGACGGUACCAGAUGAAUAAGCACCGGCUAACUCCGUGCCAGCAGCCGCGGUAAUACGGAGGGUGCAAGCGUUAUCCGGAUUCACUGGGUUUAAAGGGUGCGUAGGUGGGCAGGUAAGUCAGUGGUGAAAUCUCCGGGCUUAACCCGGAAACUGCCAUUGAUACUAUCAGUCUUGAAUAUCGUGGAGGUAAGCGGAAUAUGUCAUGUAGCGGUGAAAUGCUUAGAUAUGACAUAGAACACCC
rnacentral:rRNA from 1 species